rnacentral:rRNA from 1 species
CGCCUAACACAUGCAAGUCGAACGAGCGAGAGAGAGCUUGCUUUCUCAAGCGAGUGGCGAACGGGUGAGUAACGCGUGAGGAACCUGCCUCAAAGAGGGGGACAACAGUUGGAAACGACUGCUAAUACCGCAUAAGCCCACGGCUCGGCAUCGAGCAGAGGGAAAAGGAGCAAUCCGCUUUGAGAUGGCCUCGCGUCCGAUUAGCUAGUUGGUGAGGUAACGGCCCACCAAGGCGACGAUCGGUAGCCGGACUGAGAGGUUGAACGGCCACAUUGGGACUGAGACACGGCCCAGACUCCUACGGGAGGCAGCAGUGGGGAAUAUUGCACAAUGGGGGAAACCCUGAUGCAGCGACGCCGCGUGGAGGAAGAAGGUCUUCGGAUUGUAAACUCCUGUUGUUGAGGAAGAUAAUGACGGUACUCAACAAGGAAGUGACGGCUAACUACGUGCCAGCAGCCGCGGUAAAACGUAGGUCACAAGCGUUGUCCGGAAUUACUGGGUGUAAAGGGAGCGCAGGCGGGAAGACAAGUUGGAAGUGAAAUCCAUGGGCUCAACCCAUGAACUGCUUUCAAAACUGUUUUUCUUGAGUAGUGCAGAGGUAGGCGGAAUUCCCGGUGUAGCGGUGGAAUGCGUAGAUAUCGGGAGGAACACCAGUGGCGAAGGCGGCCUACUGGGCACCAACUGACGCUGAGGCUCGAAAGUGUGGGUAGCAAACAGG